UCUCCCGUGGCGCAAUUGGCUAGCGCGUCAGACUGUUAUCUGCACAAAACAGGUUCAUCUGGAGGCUGUAAGUUCAAUCCUUACCGGGAGAG